GUCCCUGUCCAUAGGGGGUUAGUCUGGACUCCACGGCUGAAUGCCCAUCUCCUGAUUCUCCUCUUACUCAUUCGUCGCUGGCGACGACAGUUUCUAGCGCUUCCAACGCCGCACCGAGAAGGGAUUUCCUCCGUCUCCCCAGCUGCGUCACACCCCUCGCCCCUCGCUUCUAUAGCCUGUACGAGAUCAGCAACAUCUGCAGGAGACAAGGAUGUUACCAUCUGGCACGUGAUAUGAGGGUCAUGGUACCUCAGGUCCUUACCAACUAAUACCACUUCUACGCCAAGGAAUCGCAUUAGUAUCUGCUUAUCAAGCGAGAGUUUAGCAGGCAUGAGGGCGAUGAACUUGUAUCCUUUCUGAGCAGCAAUGAACGCCACGCCGAUGCCGAGAUUACCACUCAUGACCCCCAGCAGCGUUGUGAUGCCAGGUGUGAUCAAGCCUUUCUCCUCUGCAUCUUCGAUCAAUCUGCAAAAAGUUUCAUUCAUUCAUAUUGUUGUCGAAACUCGUGACGUUAUGUAUGGUACAUUUGAGGUGAAGAAUGUCUUCCUCGGAAGGGAGUAAAAAGAGCAGCCACCUGAGAGCACUCCGAUCCUUCACAGAGGAAAGGGGCUGGUACGGCUCAAUCUUCCCAAUAAGCCGAGCACCUAUGCCGUCUUUCUCAGUGAUGUUUCUCAGUUCUAUCAGUGGUGUCCAACCAAUGAGCUGGAAGGCAUAGAAUUUACUUGCAGAUUAAAGAUAACAAGCUUUGUACAGUGAAGGAAUAAUGACUAUAUACAGAGAAAGUAGGCACCUGCGUGAUGUUGGUGGCGAUGCACUCCCCCUGCGAGGACAGCAGAGAUGAAAUAGGAGGCGCUCCAGCGUUCAAUGAUGUUAUAUAGCUGAGAAGUCCCAUUCUGAUGUUUGCAGCAUGCCAAUGAGAUACUAAAUUCAGAAAACCACCGAUUGGUUGGAAGCCUAGAACUUGGAACACAAGUUUCCCUGUAUGCCAAGAAACCACCGAUGGGUUGGAAGCCUGGAACUUGAACCCCAAGUUUCCCUGCUUAUAGAACAAGACAAUCAACCAUUAUGCAGAGGGUCACAAAGUGCCAAAUGUAUUAGACUCGUGGUCUGUGACUUCGCUGCAAGUUGAGACGACUGGUUACGUAUUCAUGAGCUGAAGAUGCUGGGGUAAUCAACACAGAUUUGGCAAGCUUCCCUGCUCUCUGAAAAGAUAAUUAGUUAAGUGUGGUACUACUGCGCAUCAGGUCAAAAGGUGGCAUGUUUUUAUGUCACCUCUGGUGGUUCGUGCAUCGCCUCAUCGGAAUUUCUAACGAAGAAUAAUGUGCAGUAGGGGGGCAAGUCGAUCUUUGCACAGCGCUUAUGAUCGAGUUAAUCAGGGUAAGAGUGGCAUGCGAACUGGUGUGCUAUUCUCCAUUCGAUUCAUUUCAUUGGGUUCCUUUUCGAGUUCCUGGAGUUGAUGAUUACCUCGAUCAUAAUAGCACACCAGGAACUUCUUAGGUUACCUCGAUCAUAUUAUGCUGUUGCUUCUUCCACCUUCGAUGCAACCUAAGAAGUUCCUGGAGUUCCUGAAGUUCCGGGAAGGGGAGGAUGGCAAGAACAGGUUCCAAAAGAUAUUUUCUCUUCAUGAUAGCUUUAUCUUUCACUUCUUCUUCUUCUUCUUCUCCUAUUCAUUUUUUGUACGAAACUCUUCCCUUAUUCUUGAGUAGAUAGUUCUGCACUUAUAUCCCCAUUUGAUGGUAGUCGCUAACACAUAAUUUAUGCCAAACUAAACCAUAUUUCUUUAAGAUUUUGAAACUGGUGAAACAUUACUGUGCUCCAAACUCAUCAAGCAGAGAGCAGU